rnacentral:rRNA from 1 species
UGAGGAAUAUUGGUCAAUGGGCGCAAGCCUGAACCAGCCAUCCCGCGUGCAGGAAGACGGCGCUAUGCGUUGUAAACUGCUUUUCCAGGGGGAGAAACUUGCGCACGUGUUGCGCAAUUUACGGUACCCUGGGAAUAAGCAUCGGCUAACUCCGUGCCUGCAGCCGCGGUAAUACGUAGGAUGCGAUCGUUAUCCUGUUUCAUUGGGUUUAAAGGGUGCGUAGGCGGACUAUUAAGUCAGUGGUGAAAUCCUGCAGCUUAACUGCAGAA